UACGGAGGGAGCUAGCGUUGUUCGGAUAUACUGGGCGUAAAGCGCACGUAGGCGGCGCAGCAAGUCAGGGGUGAAAUCCCGGAGCUCAACUCCGGAACUGCCUUUGAUACUGGGUAUCUUGAGUAUGGAAGAGGUAAGUGGAAUUCCGAGUGUAGAGGUGAAAUUCGUAGAUAUUCGGAGGAACACCAGUGGCGAAGGCGGCUUACUGGUCCUUACUGACGCUGGAGGUGCGAAAGCGUGGGGAGCAAACAGG
rnacentral:rRNA from 1 species